rnacentral:rRNA from 1 species
AUUGAACGCUGGCGGCAGGCUUAACACAUGCAAGUCGAACGAGUGGCGGACGGGUGAGUAAUGUCUGGGAACCUGACUGAUGGAGGGGGAUAACUACUGGAAACGGUAGCUAAUACCGCAUACCAUCAGAUGUGCCCAGAUGGGAUUAGCUGGUUGGUGGGGUAGCGGCUCACCAAGGCGCCGAUCCCUAGCUGGUCUGAGAGGAUGACCAGCCACACUGGAACUGAGAAACGGUCCAGACUCCUACGGGAGGCAGCAGUGGGAAAUAUUGCACAAUGGGCGCAAGCCUGAUGCAGCCAUGCCGCGUGUAUGAAGAAGGCCUUCGGGUUGUAAGGUACUUUCAGCGGGGAGGCGUUACCCGCAGAAGAAGCACCGGCUAACUCCGGGCCAGCAGCCGCGGUAAUAC